rnacentral:rRNA from 1 species
GUCGCUUGGCAAAAGUCCUCGACAACCUCAUCUUUUCGGAGUUGGGGCUCGCGUCAAGGAACACUGUGCCUAACGAGGGGAUGUGGCUGGCUUGCUAGCCGCACCCCGAGUUGCAAUUCUAUAUAAUCCACACGACUCUCGGCAACGGAUAUCUCGGCUCUCGCAUCGAUGAAGAACGUAGCGAAAUGCGAUACCUGGUGUGAAUUGCAGAAUCCCGCGAACCAUCGAGUCUUUGAACGCAAGUUGCGCCCGAGGCCUCUUGGCCGAGGGCACGCCUGCCUGGGCGUCACGCCAAACACGCUCCCACCCAACUAACUUGGGGUGGGACGCGGCAUGUGGCUCCUCGUCCCGCAAGGGGCGGUGGGCCAAAGAUCCGGCUGCCGGCCUAUCGUGCCGGACACAGCGCGUGGUAGGCGACCUCGCUUUACUAAACGCAGUGCCUCUGGCGCGUAGCCGACGCGAUGGCCCCAAUGGACCCUUUUAACGGAGUGCAUGACGCUUCGACCGCGACCCCAGGUCAGGCGGGACUACCCGCUGAA